rnacentral:rRNA from 1 species
CAUAUUUUAAUUUUUAAUCAUUAAUAUUAUAUUAAAUAAAAUUACAUUUAAAUCCACCUUCAAUUAAAUUUUACAAAUUAAUAUUCAUUUAAAUAAAUUUAUUGUAAUCCAUUAUAUUCUUAAUUAUAAUCUGCAUCUUGAUCUGAUUUAAUUUUUAAUUUUAAUUUUUAAA